GUACAAGCCCGAAUCGGAGGAGCUGACGGCAGAGAGGAUCACAGAGUUCUGCCACCGCUUCCUGGAGGGCAAAAUCAAGCCCCACCUGAUGAGCCAGGAGCUGCCAGACGACUGGGACAAGCAGCCCGUCAAGGUGCUUGUUGGGAAGAACUUUGAAGACGUGGCUUUUGAUGAGAAAAAGAACGUCUUUGUGGAGUUCUGUAAGUGUUGCCCUUUCAGCUCCCCAGGUCCGUGCCACCAGGGCACGCACGAGGUGGGCAGACUCCGGGGAGGCGUCUGCCGGUGGCUUUGUGAUCCAGGACGCACCCUAGAACUGCUUUCUUUUCAGAUGCCCCAUGGUGUGGUCACUGCAAACAGUUGGCUCCCAUUUGGGAUAAACUAGGAGAGACG
rnacentral:sRNA from 1 species